GACGAACGCUGGCGGCGUGCUUAACACAUGCAAGUCGAACGGAAAGGCCCUGCUUUUGUGGGGUGCUCGAGUGGCGAACGGGUGAGUAACACGUGAGUAACCUGCCCUUGACUUUGGGAUAACUUCAGGAAACUGUGGCUAAUACCGGAUAGGAGCUCCUGCUGCAUGGUGGGGGUUGGAAAGUUUCGGCGGUUGGGGAUGGACUCGCGGCUUAUCAGCUUGUUGGUGGGGUAGUGGCUUACCAAGGCUUUGACGGGUAGCCGGCCUGAGAGGGUGACCGGCCACAUUGGGACUGAGAGACGGCCCAGACUCCUACGGGAGGCAGCAGGGGGGAAUAUUGCACAAUGGGCGGAAGCCUGAUGCAGCAACGCCGCGGGCGGGAUGACGGCCUUCGGGGUGUAAACCGCUUUCGCCUGUGACGAAGCGUGAGUGACGGUAAUGGGUAAAGAAGCACCGGCUAACUACGUG
rnacentral:rRNA from 1 species